rnacentral:rRNA from 1 species
UUAAGCUAGUAAGAGCGUAGGGUGAAUGCCUAGGUACCAAGAGACGAAGAAAGACGUGACAAGCUGCGAAAAGCCAUGGUGAGGAGCAAAUAUCCAGAGACCCAUGGAUGUCUGAAUGGGGGAACCCAAUACAUGUAAGAAGUGUAUUAUCCACAUAUGAAUAAAAUAGUAUGUGAGAAGUGAAACGAGGUGAACUGAAACAUCUAAGUAACCUCAGGAAAAGAAAGAGAAAUCGAUUCCGAAAGUAGUGGCGAGCGAAAUCGGAAGAGCCCAAACCAGGAGAAGAAAUUCACUUGGGGUUGAGGACUACAAUAAGCUACUUUAAAUUAUAAUAGAACUGUUUUGGAAAAGCAGGCCAGAGAGAGUGAAAGCCUCGUACAUGAAAUAAGGAGAAGAGUGAGUAGAAUCCAGAGUACAACAGGACACGAGAAAUCUUGUUGGAAGCAGGUCAGACCACUGACCAAGGCUAAAUACUACUUGGUGACCGAUAGUGAAGAAGUACCGUGAGGGAAAGUUGAAAAGAACCCCGGGAGGGGAGUGAAAUAGAACCUGAAACCCUAUGUUUACAAGCAGGUAAAGAGCGUUAAGGCUCGAUACCGUACUUUUUGUAGAACGGUCCGGCGAGUUAUACGUAUGAUGCGAGGUUAAGUGCUAUGUAAGGUACGAAGCCGAAGGGAAACCGAGUCUGAAUAGGGCGAAAUAAGAGUAUCAUGCGAUAGACCCGAAACCGAGUGACCUAUCCAUGAGCAGGCUGAAGCUGGAGUAAAAUCCAGUGGAGGGCCGAACGAGUAUCCGUUGAAAAGGGUUUCGAUGACUUGUGGAUAGCGGAGAAAUUCCAAUCGAACUCGGAGAUAGCUGGUUCUCCUCGAAAUAGCUUUAGGGCUAGCCUUGUUAAGUAGUAUGUGGAGGUAAAGCACUGAAUGUGUGAGGGAUCCUACCAGAUUACCGAGCACUAUCAAACUAAGAAUGCCAUAUAUGUAAAAACAGGAGUCAGACAGUGACAGACAAGUGCCAUUGUCAAAAGGGAAAGAGCCCAGACCAACAGCUAAGGUCCCAAAAUUAUAGUUAAGUGGAAAAGGAUGUAAGAACUCAUAGACAACUAGGAUGUUGGCUCAGAAGCAGCCAUGCAUUUAAAGAGUGCGUAAUAGCUCACUAGUCGAAGUGGUCUUGCGCCGAAAAUUACCGGGGCUAAACUAUAUACCGAAGCUUUGGAUUUCAUAUCAAGAGAUAUGAAGUGGUAGAGGAGCGUUGUAUACAGGAUGAAGCUAUACUGAAAAGAGUAGUGGACGGUAUACAAGUGAGAAUGCCGGAAUAAGUAGCGAGAGGAUGGUGAGAAUCCAUCCCACCGAAAACCUAAGGUUUCCUGAGGAAGGUUCGUCCGCUCAGGGUAAGUCGGGGCCUAAGGCGAGGCUGAAAAGCGUAGUCGAUGGGAAGCAGGUAAAAGAUUCCUGCACUACCGAAAUGUAUUGAAUAUAUGGGGACGCAUCUUUAGAGGAUAAGCGUGCAAAUGGAAAAGUACGUACCGCAAGGUGGAGUGAAAAAUAGUAGUGAAGUAUCUAAAGAAGGUGACAAGAAAAGCCAUAUAGGAGCAUAGAGGUACUCGUACCGUAAACCGACACAGGUAGGAAGAAAGAGAAUUUUCAGGUGAGCGAGAUAAACAUUGUUAAGGAACUCGGCAAAUUGACCCCGUAACUUAGGGAGAAGGGGAGCCUAUAGAGAUAUAGGUCGCAGUGAAAAGGCCCAAGCAACUGUUUAACAAAAACACAGGUUUCUGCAAAAUCGAAAGAUGAAGUAUAGGAGCUGACGCCUGCCCAGUGCUGGAAGGUCAAGGGGAAGUGUUAGCAGUAAUGUGAAGCAUAGAACCAAAGCCCCAGUGAACGGCGGCCGUAACUAUAACGGUCCUAAGGUAGCGAAAUUCCUUGUCAGGUAAGUUCUGACCCGCACGAAAGGCGUAAUGAUUUGGGCACUGUCUCGACAAUGUACCCGGCGAAAUUGUAGUACUAGUGAAGAUGCUAGUUACCUGCGACAAGACAGAAAGACCCCAUGGAGCUUUACUGUAGCUUGAUACUGGGUUUCGGUAGUUUAUGUACAGGAUAGGUGGGAGACUAUGAGUACAGGGCGUCAGCCUUGUAGGAGUCACUGUUGGGAUACCACCCUUAAAUUACUGAAAUUCUAACUAGUCGUCGUAAUCCGGCGAUAGGACAAUGUCAGGUGGGCAGUUUGACUGGGGCGGUCGCCUCCAAAAGAGUAUCGGAGGCGCCCAAAGGUUUCCUCAGCCUGGUCAGAAAUCAGGCGAAAGAGUGUAAAGGCAGAAGGAAGCUUAACUGAAAGACAGACAUGUCGAGCAGAUACGAAAGUAGGGCUUAGUGAUCCGGUGGUAGUGAAUGGAAAUGCCAUCGCUCAACGGACAAAAGUUACCCUGGGGAUAACAGGCUUAUCUCCCCCAAGAGUUCACAUCGACGGGGAGGUUUGGCACCUCGAUGUCGGCUCAUCGCAUCCUGGGGCUGUAGUCGGUCCCAAGGGUUGGGCUGUUCGCCCAUUAAAGCGGUACGCGAGCUGGGUUCAGAACGUCGUGAGACAGUUCGGUCCUUAUCUGUCGCAGGCGCAGGAUAUUUGAAGGGAGCUGUCCUUAGUACGAGAGGACCAGGAUGGACAUACCGAUGGUGUAUCAGUUGUCACACCAGUGGCACGGCUGAGUAGCUAAGUAUGGAAGGGAUAAACGCUGAAAGCAUCUAAGUGUGAAGCCCACCCUAAGAUAAGAUAUCCCACAACGUAAGUUGGUAAGAUACCAUGAAGACUACAUGGUUGAUAGGUUGGAGGUGUAAGUACAGUAAUGUAUUAAGCUGACCAAUACUAAUAAAUCGAGGGCUUAACCAC